ACAGAGGGUGCAAGCGUUGUUCGGAAUUACUGGGCGUAAAGCGAGUGUAGGCGGCCUAUUAAGUCAGAUGUGAAAUCCCUUGGCUCAACCGAGGAACUGCAUCUGAUACUGGUAGGCUUGAGUGUCGGAGGGGAUGGUAGAAUUCCUGGUGUAGAGGUGAAAUUCGUAGAUAUCAGGAGGAAUACCUGUGGCGAAGGCGACCAUCUGGAAGACAACUGACGCUGAGACUCGAAAGCGUGGGUAGCAAACAGGAUUAGAUACCCUGGUAGUCCACGCUGUAAACGAUGAGUGCUAGAUGUUGUGGGUAUUGACCCCCGCAGUGUCAAAGCUAACGCGUUAAGCACUCCGCCUGGGGAGUACGGUCGCAAGAUUA
rnacentral:rRNA from 1 species